rnacentral:lncRNA from 1 species
UCAGGGAUGAGCUCAGCCGGAUCGGCUUUCAGCUGCAGCCUCCGGGCCGGCCGGGAAGGCGGGGAGCGGGCGGCCGUGGAGGAGGAGGGGGAGGCGGCGGCUGCAGCAUCCAGAGCUGGCCCUGGCAGUCGGCGCGCCCCGUGCACAAAGGCGCCCAGCCCCUGGGGAAGGCGAUGAGCGCACGGCAGCCCGGGCCCCGGCCACCGCAGCAGCCAUCGCGGCGUGCGCCCGGGGCGCUGGGGAAGAAACCCGGCACUCCAGGGACAGGCGGCCGAGGUGCGGCCCGUGCGCCCUAAGCGCGGGGACUCGCCGCCCUCCAGGUCAGGCGCCAAGCUUCGGGGCGGCCAGGGCUCCGGCUUCCGCGCCCCCCUGAGAUCCGCGCAGUCGGGCGCUUCCCCACCCGGGACCGGACCUCGGAGCCUUCUUGCCGAGCCUGAGCGCCAACUUCGCCAGGAACGUCCCUAACUCCAGGGCACCCUGCGGGGAGAGAGGGCGCUGCUGCGGGGCACAAGCCGAGAGGACGCGCCGCUGGCGGAGAAGCCAGCAUCCGCGGGGUCGCUCGGGCGCCCCUGAGUGGGCAGCAGCGGCAGCAGACCUCUCUCCCGGGAGUUCCGGACCUGCCAGCGCUGGGGAUUCCUCCCGGGCAGGCGCUCGCCCUCUCUUUUAUGCCCAUGCUGGACUAGAACUCACAGUGUAGCCCAGGUUGACUCCCAACUCUCAAUCUUCUGGACCCCUCCGGGUGUGGGCCAUCACACCUGACUCUGACAGAGGGUCUCCCUGGCAGCCCCGCCUCAGCCUUGUUUGCCAUGCUUUGCCCCAGCUUGA